UGGGGAAUAUUGGACAAUGGGCGCAAGCCUGAUCCAGCAAUGCCGCGUGUGUGAAGAAGGCCUUCGGGUUGUAAAGCACUUUUAUCAGGAGCGAAACGCUGUCGGCUAAUACCCGGCGGAACUGACGGUACCUGAGGAAUAAGCACCGGCUAACUUCGUGCCAGCAGCCGCGGUAAUACGAAGGGUGCAAGCGUUAAUCGGAAUUACUGGGCGUAAAGCGUGCGUAGGCGGUUUCUUAAGUCUGCUGUGGAAUCCCCGGGCUCAACCUGGGAAUGGCAGUGGAUACUGGGAGGCUAGAGUGUGUCAGAGGGUGGUGGAAUUCCCGGUGUAGCGGUGAAAUGCGUAGAGAUCGGGAGGAACAUCAGUGGCGAAGGCGGCCACCUGGGACAACACUGACGCUGAGGCACGAAAGCGUGGGGAGCAAACAGGAUUAGAUACCCUGGUAGUCCACGCCCUAAACGAUGCGAACUGGAUGUUGGUCUCAACUCGGAGAUCAGUGUCGAAGCUAACGCGUUAAGUUCGCCGCCUGGGGAGUACGGUCGCAAGACUGAAACUCAAAUGAAUUGAC
rnacentral:rRNA from 1 species